GCGGGUGUAGCUCAGCUGGCCAGAGCAUUGGCUUCCCAAGCCAAGGGUCGCGGGUUCGAAUCCCGUCGCCCGCUCCA
rnacentral:tRNA from 1 species